CCUGGCGGCUGUAGCGCGGUGGUCCCACCUGACCCCAUGCCGAACUCAGAAGUGAAACGCCGUAGCGCCGAUGGUAGUGUGGGGUCUCCCCAUGUGAGAGUAGGGA
rnacentral:rRNA from 1 species